rnacentral:rRNA from 1 species
GACGAACGCUGGCGGCGUGCCUAAUACAUGCAAGUCGAACGCAGUGGGGACGGGUGAGUAACACGUGGGUAACCUCCCAUCAGAGGGGAUAACACUUGGAAACAGGUGCUAAACCGAUACUGAUUGAUGUACCCGCGGUUCUUUAGCUAGUUGGUGAGGUAAAGGCUCACCAAGGCCACGAUGCAUAGCGGCCCGUAGAGGGUGUUCGGCCACACUGGGACUGAGACACGGCCCAGACUCCUAUGGGAGGCAGCAGUAGGGAAUCUUCGGCAAUGGACGAAAGUCUGACCGAGCAACGCCGCGUGAUUGAAGAAGGUUUUCGGAUCGUAAAAUUCUGUUGUUAGAGAAGCGGUAUCUAACCAGAAAGCCACGGCUAACUACGGGCCAGCCGCCGCGGUAAUUC